UGAGCGCUAGCCUCACGCAGUGGCUCAGGCAGGCCGGUGGCAGGAACCAGGCCCGUGGAGGAGGGGUGCCCUUGUUGCCCACGUGUCCCACGAUCAGUUGCGCUGUCUGCCGCUCGGCCUGGCACCGACGGCCCCACUCGGCCAGCCGGUCCUUGCCCAGGCCCCCGGGGAACAUGACCACCAGCUCCAAGCCGUCGCCGCCGGGAUAGGCACAAGCCUGACAUAGCGCUGACAAGUAGCCCAGCAUGGCGUUCCAUUGGCCGCCACACACCCAAUCCGUCUGGUAGCCGCCAUAAAGCCGAGGCAGCGCUGAGCCCGCGUCCACCAGCACCCGGGCCCCGGGCAGCGGAGGGGGCGGCGGCGGCGGGUGCAGCCCGGGGUGCGCCUGGCCGUGAUGGUGGAAGUGGGGUGAAGCCUCUUACUUCUACCUCCAGGAGCCACGUUACCGCGUCUUCUCUAUGGGAUCACCUAGGAGAGAAUACCUUGGAGUCAUUGUCAUAAAAUCAAGCAAUUCUCAAAAUGCUGCCCUGGAUGCCCCCAAAUGAUAGCAACAGAAUCUUCAUGAUGCUGAGUGUGAUCCUCAGGAGGGAUCGCGGAUGGAUUCUGAACUGAUGAAGCUGGAAAUGCCUGCAAAUUCAUCCCCGGCUGGAACAGUCCCCCAGAUUGGGUAGGAAUUACUACAGACUGUUGUGGUGUUCCUGAAAUUCCUACCCACUGUACCGGAUACCCUGGCCCCCCCACAGCAUUAUAUUGACAAACAUGGGGUAUUCCAUAUGAUGAUAAUGGCCCAGGAAAUGAAGGGCGUGAGAGUCCUUGUGGCAAGGAGGCUGGGACAGCUCCACGGAUUUGGGACAGAGAAGAAAUCCAUGUUGAUGUGUAGCCCAUAGUAGAUGGAGUAUUCUAACAAAAAAUAAAAACAAAAGAUCAGUUUAUUUGGUA